rnacentral:rRNA from 1 species
GAUGAACGCUGGCGGCGUGCCUAAUACAUGCAAGUCGAGCGAACAGACGAGGAGUUUGCUCCUCUGACGUUAGCGGCGGACGGGUGAGUAACACGUGGUUAACCUACCUAUAAGACUGGGAUAACUUCGGGAAACCGGAGCUAAUACCGGAUAAUAAAUUGAACCGAAUGGUUUAAUAGUGAAAGACGGUUUUGCUGUGCUUUAUAGAUGGAUCCGCGCCGCAUUAGCUAGUUGGUAAGGGAACGGCUUACCAAGGCAACGAUGCGUAGCCGACCUGAGAGGGUGAUCGGCCCCACUGGAAUUGAGACACGGUCCCGACUCCUACGGGAAGCAGCAGUAGGGAAUCCUCCGCAAAGGGCGAAAGCCUGACGGAGCAACGCCGCGUGAGUGAUGAAGGUCGUCGAAUCGUAAAACUCUGUUAUUAGGGAAGAACAAAUGUGUAAGUAACUAUGCACGUCUUGACGUCACCUAAUCAGAAAGCCACGGCUAACUACGUG